rnacentral:rRNA from 1 species
GAUGAACGCUGGCGGCGUGCCUAAUACAUGCAAGUCGAGCGAACGGACGAGAAGCUUGCUUCUCUGAUGCUAGCGGCGGACGGGUGAGUAACACGUGGAUAACCUACCUAUAAGACUGGGAUAACUUCGGGAAACCGGAGCUAAUACCGGAUAAUAUAUUGAACCGCAUGGUUCAAUAGUGAAAGACGGUUUUGCUGUCACUUAUAGAUGGAUCCGCGCUGCAUUAGCUAGUUGGUAAGGUAACGGCUUACCAAGGCAACGAUGCAUAGCCGACCUGAGAGGGUGAUCGGCCACACUGGAACUGAGACACGGUCCAGACUCCUACGGGAGGCAGCAGUAGGGAAUCUUCCGCAAUGGGCGAAAGCCUGACGGAGCAACGCCGCGUGAGUGAUGAAGGUCUUCGGAUCGUAAAACUCUGUUAUUAGGGAAGAACAAAUGUGUAAGUAACUAUGCACAUCUUGACGGUACCUAAUCAGAAAGCCACGGCUAACUACGUG